rnacentral:rRNA from 1 species
UACGGAGGGUGCAAGCGUUAUCCGGAUUUACUGGGUUUAAAGGGAGCGCAGGCGGAUUGGUAAGUCAGACGUGAAAUCCCUCGGCUUAACCGGGGAACUGCGUCUGAUACUGGAUGGCUUGAGUUUGGGAGAGGGAUGCGGAAUUCCAGGUGUAGCGGUGAAAUGCGUAGAUAUCUGGAGGAACACCGGUGGCGAAGGCGGCAUCCUGGACCAACACUGACGCUGAGGAGCGAAAGCCAGGGGAGCAAACGGG